rnacentral:misc_RNA from 1 species
AUUGAAUUUGGUGAUGAUUUUCUGUACUUUUGAGGCACCCUCGUGUUUUCAAUGAAUAAAUGUUAGCAUAUAACGUGUAGUUUUUAGUAUAUAUUUGGUUUUACACCAGAAUGAAUUGCCAUCGAGUAUCUUGUGUCUUGUAUGAUGAUUUAUAUAUGUUUUUUUCUUAUAUUCUUGUCCAAGCAAGCAAGAGCAUAAGCAUGCUCAGAUUAUGUUUUG